rnacentral:lncRNA from 1 species
GGCUGAGUCUGGGCCUCAGGACCUGCGUGCAGGCAGGGACCCUCCCCAAACCCACGUUCAGGGCUGAACCAGACUCUGUAAUAACCUAGGGGAGGCCCGUGGCCCUCUGGUGUCAGGAGACCCUAGAGGCUCAGGAGUGUGGUCUGGAUAAAGAGGAAAGCCCAGUGUUCAGGAGCACACAGAGCUCGCCGAAGCCCAGGACAGCGUGAGUCCUCCGUCUCACUCAGGACAAAGCACCAUGCAGGGGAAUAUUGCUGUGAGUAUUUCAGUCCUGCUGGCAGGUGAGCACUCAGAGACCCCCUGCAGCUGGUGGUAACAG